CCUAUCUGAGUCUGCUACACAUCCUGAGCCGUACUCCAGUGGUAGGUUGUGACCUGACUUUUACGUCUGUGUAGGAGUCGGGGCACACCAGGUUCCUCCAUAGAGUCUCGCAGGUCUCCUUGAUGGUAGUUGAAAAGGUGGGUUAGCGCGAACCCAAACCAAAACGGCUCUCAUGAGGGAUAUAUAGAGUAUAGACGGAGGGCCCUCCAUCUCCGAACCAUGUUCUCCAGGUAUGUGCUCAGAGGAGUAGGGGCAAUCCUGCCAUCUUAUCCCAAGAUUGUAAUGACCAGGGAACACAAGACAAC